AUAGGACAGACUGAAGAAAAGGGCUUUGACAUAAGCUCCCAGCCCUUAAUCCUCGGCAGCGUGUGCCCUCCUAGCUUUGCAAAAUGCACACUAAGCUCUCCACCUCCUUAUCCGCUUCUCCCAUCUUGUCUGCCAGCCCGAAGCUAGCAGAGUAGCCGACAACUCCUUUCUUAACCUCAGCUCUUCAUCCAAUUUCCUAAUUUGAGAGUCAGCCUCUAGUUGGGCAUCAAUGGUCAGCAUCCAUCCCCCGGCAGAGGCCAGCCCACUGCAGCAGCCAUGCGUGUCCCUUCUCCCAGCAGGACACUGUGUGCAGCUCCUCAAACAAGAGCAUUAGACUAGCCAGCAUUUUCGGGGCUGGCCCGGACUCAUGCGGCGGUCCACAAGCAUCUGACAUGCGGGCCACCCCUCCCCACGCAGAGGUCAAGGGUCAACUGGGGAUUUCUCCCGAGAUGCCUCUUUCCCAAAACCCACUUCUCCGGUCUCCUGGCUGGCUCGCCAGUUGGUGGUUCCCAACCUCAGGAGCUUCCUGGGUGAACUCUGAAGCUGGACCCCAUACCUGGAGGGCAAGGAGAAACCGACAAGAGGGGCAGGCCACUCCAAAUUGGUAGGUGGCAGCUCUAAUAAGCAAAGAGACUUACAUAUGAGGCUUGUCCUGGACAGCCGCAAGCUGAGUAGCUCUCUGCACCUGCCCGCCAGAAUCUUCAAGUUUAUAUAGAAGCCGUCCCUGGGUUCAGUCCCGGCACACAGUCCAGAUGGUCUCAGCAACGCCUUACUCUCUCCAGGCUGUGUCCUUGGGGCAGCUUCCAGCUCAGGGAAGGCUAACCAAAGGGCUAGUUGAAGGGAUGAUCAGAAUGAGAGAAGACACAACACUAUUCUUGAAAGGUAACUGAGUUUGGCCCAGCCCUUCACAGCCUGUGGGAACUAAUGGGGUGACAGUAGUAGAACUGACUUAUUUUUCACUGCAUCAUGCCCCUACAGGGCGCUUUAAGUGCUUCCCGGAAUCCCCAGGUAUGUCUAAGCUGUCUUCAUGGCGUGUCAACUCCAUCUCAGUUCCAAUGUUGUCCCUCUGCCUCCUGCCAGAUGUCCCCUUUCCCACAGCACCAGAACUCCUAGAAGCCCCAAAAUGUCAAUGCUGCAUAGUGCUCCCUCUCUCUUUGUCUUACGCUCUGUUGCAGGAAUGUCAGAGCUGCGUAGGUCAUGUCCAGGAGUCUCAGAGAAACAGCCCUGUCGGAUUUUAUGCACAGCACACCUGUUCUCAAGGGACUCUGACAUCUUCUGUGAAGUCCAAGGAGUAAGGACUUAGACACAACCUGAAGUGACAAACACUUUUAAGUCCUCCCAACCACAUCCCCUUGGCUCUGGAUGGUUUAAGACUUGUCCGUGGUUCAUUCUUCCUUUAGGCAGCUUUCUUUCUGAGGAGGCACCAUAGUCCCUCCAGAUAUGACCAGCUGCUCCUGAACCCCAAUCUAGGACCCUCCUGAUAAAAAACAAAAAUGGUUCUUUUUAUUUUAUUUACUCAAUUUUCAAUGCUUGUUCUCCUUAAUGAGCAUUUUCUCCAUCCAAGUGCUCAACUAGCUUGCACUACACAUACUCAGGGGAUCAUGUUAAAAUGCAGAUUCUGAUUCA
rnacentral:lncRNA from 1 species